rnacentral:ncRNA from 1 species
GGCUGGUCAUCACAUCGACAAACUUGGACUGCUGCUCGCAAAUAAUACGGGUAAUGCGCAGACGAUCCUCAUGAGUAAGCAAAUUCAGGUAAUUAUGCGCUAAUUCAUUGCUGAGAAUGUUCGUCCCGUCAUUGAUGCGCAAAAUACAGAUCCCUACCGGAGCAGAGGCCACGAUCUUGCGGUUGAAUUGUUCAUUUUCUUCUAACUGGAACGCAUUGACUUCGGCAGGCAGCAGCAUUUUGCGUUCGAAGAACCAGCUCAGUAAAAACAGUAGAAUGGCCGAUAGCGUAUUAAGCACCGCCAUAUUAAUAAUCAGCGGACCGAUAUGAGACAAUAAUACCUUUAACGGCAGAGAAUAAAUGAUGCUGAAAUUCGUCGGCGGCAGGCUCUUCUUCAGAAUAAUUUCAUCAUAACCAUUCACAUAACCAAAAUAGUUAUGCUCGACGGGAUAAGAGCCGGUAGAUGAUAAGUAAUGACCGGACUCUUCAG